rnacentral:lncRNA from 1 species
AGCUUGCUUUUGUUUUUGUUUUGUUUUGUUUUGUUUUGUUUUUGUUUUUGUUUUGUUUUUGUUUUUGUUUUGAGUAGCACUCUUUUGAGUAGCACCUCAAACAAACAGCUUUCUUCCUCUGCAGUAAGUGCCAAUAUGUGAAGUUGCUGCAAAGCCCCACAUCUCCAAUAAAUCCUUUACUAGUUGGACUCUUGAAUAGGUGGUAAUCAAAACAGGGCCAUCCCCUCUUGUGUGUAUAAGUCACUUCAAAAGCCCUCCUUGCCUCUCUCUCCCAUGGCCUCAUGUCUCCAGUGUCCUCCUGCACCACCCCAUCCUAUCUGGAUAGUGAAAAAUCAGCCAGCCUGUGUGCUGGUGUGACCUGUAACCAAUGUGCAGACAUAUAAACUGUCGAAAUAAUUGCUUUUUAGGCCCUGCCCCUCAAAUACACGGAGGGUAACUAGAUAGUAUUCCUCUCCAUGGACACCACACCUCUCCCAUCCAAAAAAAAAAAAAAAAAAAAGACUUCUCACUCCUUCUUCAAGUCUUUAUAUGGGAAGGGGAAGGAAGAGAUGGGAGGAAGACAUUAAUGAUGGCAAGAUUUCUGAAAGAAGUUCUCAAAUUCAAUCUCUCUCCCUCUGUCUCCCUCUCCCUUCCCUUCCCUCUCUCUCCUUUCCCCUCCCCAUCUCCCUUCCUCUUUCUCUGGAUGGCACUAUAAUGUACUAAAAUAAUCUAAUGAGGCAGGGCAUCCAACAAGUGAUGUAAUGAGGGAUGCCACAACCUCAAGAGAAGCCUCACAGACAAGCUGCACUGUCAGCUACAUUGCACCUGGAUGCUCUGCAACCUUUUCAACAUCAGCUAAUUAUUACUGCAUAGAUCUGAUAAGUUCCUCAAAGCAUAUUCAUCCCGUGCCUGGCACAGGGCCCUGUAUUCUCUAAGACCUAAGGAGAUGUCUAACAAGUUCCUAUAUCCAAUAAGGCUAUAACCUUGAAUGAUGAAGAUUGAGCUUGAACACAAGAAAAAGACUCUGUAAGAACCCUAGAGAUCCAAGCACUCUCAGUGAAUGGGAGACAUGUGAGGAUAAUGAGGCUCCACAGAGGAGAGAAUCCCAAGUAGCUGAAUGGCAAAAUAGGAUGUCUAUCACAUUUCCAGGACAUGGUGUAUUUAUCAUUCCGGACCCAUGUGUGAUAUUCAGUGCCCCAUGAAAAUUGGUAUCUGAACUCAUAUAGGACCUGACUGCAAAUGUAACAGGACCUAAGGUGACAUUAGCAGUCUACUAAGCAUGAGGACACUUUUAACUUUCUUAUUACAUUCAUCUACCUAUAUGUGUGUGUUGAGCACAUAUGUAUGGAGGUCAGAGAACAACUUACAGGAGUUUCUUCCAGUAUGUGGGUACCAAGGAUCAAACUUCAAUCAUUGGGUUUGUUGGCAAGCACCCAUAUCCACCCUGAGUCAUCUUACUGGCCUCUACUGUACAUUCUUUACAAAGCUCUGUCACCCAUUUUAUCAGCAACAGCAGCGUGUACAGAUCAUUUGUACAUGUAGCCUGUAGGCCUAGGCUUGAAUCUUUAUUCCCUUAUCAAUGAUGUCAAGGUCACUAUGGCCAGUCUAGGAAGCCUGUGAGGAUUCAUGAGAUAACAUACUUAAAGUACUUAGGACUAGAUGUUACAUCUAGAAAAAUGUCCAAGAACUAAGAAAUGGCCUCUCCCAUUCGUAUUUCCAGAUCAUCUGACCGAGGUAAAAUUCACACAUGCCUAACUUGCAUGAGUAAAUAAUUAUAACAGCAAUUAUCUCCCUCAGGACAAUGAUUUGCCAUCACCAUUUGCACCGACCCAAAUUACAUGCAUAAGAAGCAGCAUCACCCAUUGGCAGAUAAACGUAAUUAAAUUGGGAGAAUGACAUCCAGUGGCUGGCUGGAUUAAUAAAAGAAAUGUAUUCCCCAGAGAUAUUUAAGAAUGCUUCUCCAAGCGGAAUAUUUCUUUUUAAGCUUGUCGUUUGAAUUCAAAUUACGUAUUAAUUCUUUCCCCCAAAUCAUCGUGCAUUCAGUCUUAGAAAUAUAUAUCUCUAAAAAAAGCUAUGCCUGUGACAAUCAGCCACACACAGUCACAAAUCCUUUUGAUCUUUGUGUAACUGUGUGGAUAAGGCAAUACUCGGGAUGAAAAAAAUCUCAGCAAAUAAAUAUUUUAUCUUGACGAUGUGUUCCCUGAUUUGAGUGAAGUAACCCAGACUCAAAAAAGACAGACACUGCAUGUUUUCUCUUAGAUGUGGAAUGGCAGCUUUUAAGUUUUAGAUAUGUGUACUCCAAUCCAAGUAAGCACAGUUGUUAGAAGCUAAGAAAGGAUCCAGCGGAGAGGGAGGGAGGGAUCUUUCGAAGGAGAAGCAGACUCCAGUGUUAUAGAGAGAGAAGGGGAAACUAGAUUGGGAAUUUGAUUUUAAACAGGAUGCAAAAGAGCAUUAUCUAUGUUAGAGUGUCCAAGAGCAUGGUAACCACAUACAGAAUUGAAAAGGCUUUAGAAACUCAGUUCAUAAACUCUUUGAAUUGCUCAUGAAUUCACAACAAAUGGUAAUGAUUAGCAGGAUUCAUGUCUGUGAACCUGGGGUAAAAUGGGUGUUUUUCCUUCCCGUACCACCAUUGUUCUUCUACUUUGGAACACCAGGCUGCGGUUCUCUUUCUGAGUCCAUGUCUCUAGUCAUAGCUCUAAGAGCCACAAGAACGUUGGUAUCUGUUUGUCACAUUUUUUUUUUUAAUGCAGUUCUUCAUUUGUGCAUUUUGGUGGAAGCCUACAGUGGUACACUUCUAAGGUGCUCUGAAUUCUUCUGUGAGGUAGAGAUAAGGAAAUCAUAAAACUUUAUUUUACCACUGGAUACAUCCCAAAGAGGAAGGGUAUCCUUGCCAGUAGUUUUGACUUUGUUCCUUUCACAAAAGGAAAUAGAACCAUCUAUCCCAAAAUGGCAGCCAGAGAGGACCGCAAGAGGCUGCCGGCCUGAAGGAACACUUCAAUCAUGGUUUUCUUCUUCAUAUAAUG